UCCUUUGCUCCUCCCAGUGAGAAUUGCAACUAUCCCACCCAAGACAUUUUUCAGGUUCACUUCAGGGUGUGCUUUGGGCUAUGGAGAAAUGCAAGACUCUUCACCUGAAUCAUAUCCAUCAAGAAAGUCAUUCAUCAUCCCUUAACCGAUAAGGAUCUCCUUGUCUUAAGGAUCUUUGCCCCGAUGAGCAAGCCUUUUUCUUGGGGACACUCCAGAAAUCAGAUUGGAAGUCUUCCUCAUCAUGGCUUUCUUUAUCAAGCUAAGAGAAUGAAGGAUAUGAAACUAUAUCUUUAGAUGCUACCAUCCAUCUAUUUGAUACUUGAAGGCUUUCAAGUUUCAACAGACACAGCUCCUCCUACAGUUUAUACCACAAUAUUUAUUCAUUAAAGCAAAUAUGCAAAGAAAGAUCAGGACUCAAGAGUCCCC
rnacentral:lncRNA from 1 species